CCCACCACAAAAAGAUACCCCAUGUCCAAAGAUGAAGAAGCCACAAUGAGAAGUAAUGUUGGCUGUAAAUAUGAAAUUUCUUCCACACACCAAGAUUUUCAAGAAUGGCAUAUUCUCAAUGCAAUAUGUGAUUUUUGUGGUCUCUGUACAUCCCUCACACUAUCAUUGUGGCAGAACUAUCAGAAAGACAUACUUCAUCUUCUAACAAGAUGUAUUCAGAUCUAGUCCUGAUUUUGACAGAGGAGCUAAGAUGGCAGAGGGGUAGGACGGGGAGAACACUUUCU